ensembl:rRNA 5S_rRNA 5S ribosomal RNA
GUCUACAGCCAUACCAUGAUGAAUGUGCCUGAUCUUGUCUGAUCUUGGAAGCUAAGCAGGGUUGGGUCUGCUAAAUACU